CGUGGUGGGAGUGGGAUGCGGCUUAGAGCAAGUAUUAUAGCAGGGUGUAAGCCAACUAAAUGCUGAGGUGGAGGAGAGAGAAGAGGAGAGAGUAAAAGCAGGCUGUAAACUUACAGCCAGCUUAGACACAAAAAUCAAAAAAAUUUAUGAGAUAGACAAGUGGGUCAUGUAUUAAUAGUGAUAAGCUAACUAUUAUAUGAGUGGGCUGUAAGAAGGCUAUAAAUAAACCUUACAACCAGCAGCUGGCUGUAUUAUUAGCCUUGCUCUUACCUGCAGUACCUCGGUGUUUGCUCCAAUGUUGCAGUUCUCAAGCUUCAGGGCCC
rnacentral:lncRNA from 1 species